rnacentral:rRNA from 1 species
UACGUAGGUGGCGAGCGUUGUCCGGAAUUACUGGGCGUAAAGGAGCGUAGGCGGUUUUUUAAGUGGGAUGUGAAAUCCCCGGGCUCAACCUGGGAAUUGCAUUCCAAACUGGGAAACUAGAGUGCAGGAGAGGAAAGUGGAAUUCCAAGUGUAGCGGUGAAAUGACGUAGAGAUUUGGAGGAACACCAGUGCGAAGGCGCUCUGCUAGGCCGUAACUGACACUGAGGGACGAAAGCUAGGGAGCGAA